rnacentral:tRNA from 2 species
GGGCCCGUAGCUCAGCUGGUUAGAGCGCACGCCUGAUAAGCGUGAGGUCGGUGGUUCGAGUCCACCCGGGCCCACCA